UGUUAGCCAAGAUGGUCUAGAUCUCUUGACCUCGUGAUCCUCCCACCCACAGUGCUGGGAUUACAGGAGUAAGCCACUGCGCCCGACCGGCCACAUUUGUUUUUUUUUUUUUUUAACUGGGAGAAGAAAGGGUUGAGGCCCUGGGGUUUAAGGAGUUGAGUGCAUAUCCUACAAGCACCUGUGAAGACUAGUCUGGAGUGGGAAGGCCCCAUGGAUCCGGGGUAAACAGAGAAAUCUUUAGGUGACAGCAUUUACCAGUUCCUGGAAUUAGCCAAAAUCAACAAGAAGCCAAAGGACAGGAGAACUUCUUGAUGCAGUACAUAGACAUCAGCUUCCCAUGUCACCAAGCCGAAUGGUAAAGAAGUAACCUGGAUCUAAAGGAACACAAGGAACAGAUUCAGCAUCCCAGGAGGAAAUGGGGAAGGGAGACAUCUAGAAAUGUCACUAAAGACAAAAGAUUAUACUCACCCUGUUUUCCGCAUGAAGGAAUACAGUCUCACAAAUAAACCAUCGCUUUUUGAGAUGUGGCAGAGAAACAGCAUUCUCAGUCUACCACUCCCUCAGAGGACUCCAGGAGGAUGUGGAAUUGAUGCAUCAUCCCAGAAGCACUCUAAAGACUACCCAGCAGGACUUUCCAACAGCCAGAGUGGACAUCCUAUAAAGCCUCGCUUCCCAUCUGGGUCACAAAAAGAUGGAAGAGACUCAGUGCUUUCUGAAAAACUGUGCAGCUCCUGAAAUCCGUCCAGGAUCCUGCAUCCUCUCUCCCAUCUGGAAUCAUCAGCCCAGUGAUUUUUCCGAGCAUCACAUUGUUUCUCAACUAUGAAUCCUUCAGAUUUUCUCUUCCCUCGUUGAACUGGAAGGCAAACGUUCACCAUUUUUUGUAUACCAUGCUGUUCUAGAUGCUGAAGCUUAUGUUUAAGGUAACUUUCAAUUUUUCCAAAUGAAAUUAUCAAAGCAGCACUCUCCUGAUGCUCAAAAAUCUC